rnacentral:rRNA from 1 species
GUGGACGCUGGCGGUAGGCCUAACACAUGCAAGUCGAACGGCAGCACAGUAAGAGCUUGCUCUUACGGGUGGCGAGUGGCGGACGGGUGAGGAAUACAUCGGAAUCUACUUUUUCGUGGGGGAUAACGUAGGGAAACUUACGCUAAUACCGCAUACGACCUACGGGUGAAAGCAGGGGAUCUUCGGACCUUGCGCGAUUGAAUGAGCCGAUGUCGGAUUAGCUAGUAGGCGGGGUAAAGGCCCACCAAGGCGACGAUCCGUAGCUGGUCUGAGAGGAUGAUCAGCCACACUGGAACUGAGACACGGUCCAGACUCCUACGGGAGGCAGCAGUGGGGAAUAUUGGCCAAUGGGCGCAAGCCUGAUCCAGCCAUACCGCGUGAGUGAAGAAGGCCUUCGGGUUGUAAAGCCCUUUUGUUAGGAAAGAAAAGCAGCAGGUUAAUACCCCGCUGUUCUGACGUUACCCAAAGAAUAAGCACCGGCUAACUUCGUG